rnacentral:rRNA from 1 species
UACGUAGGGGGCAAGCGUUGUCCGGAAUCAUUGGGCGUAAAGAGCGCGUAGGCGGUCCGGUAAGUCCGCUGUGAAAGUCAAGGGCUCAACCCUUGAAUGCCGGUGGAUACUGUCGGGCUAGAGUCCGGAAGAGGCGAGUGGAAUUCCUGGUGUAGCGGUGAAAUGCGCAGAUAUCAGGAGGAACACCAAUGGCGAAGGCAGCUCGCUGGGACGUGACUGACGCUGAGACGCGAAAGCGUGGGGAGCAAACAGG